rnacentral:rRNA from 1 species
CCCUUAGAUGUUCUGGGCCGCACGCGCGCUACACUGAUGCAUUCAACGAGUCUAAAACCUGCUCUGAUAGGGGUGGGUAAUCUUUUGAAUGUGCAUCGUGAUUGGGAUAGAUGAUUGCAAUUUUUCAUCUUCAACGAGGAAUGCCUAGUAAACGCAAGUCAUCAGCUUGCAUUGAUUACGUCCCUGCCCUUUGUACACACCGCCCGUCGCUCCUACCGAUUGAAUGAUCCGAUGAAUAUCAUGGAUUGAGGAUGCAAGCAGGCUCGCCUGUCUUCAUCUUCGAGAAGUGAAGUAAAUCUUAUCAUUUAGAGGAAGGAGAAGUCGUAACA